rnacentral:ncRNA from 2 species
UUCUUAUCCAGAGUGGUAGAGGGACAGGCCCGAUGAAACCCGGCAACCAUCUAGUCAAAAUAUUGACUUGAACGGUGCUAAUUCCUGCAAAGGUGUUUACCUUUGAAAGAUGAGAG